UUCACUGGUCGCACUAAAAUAAUUUAUUCUUUUAAGUCUUCGGCUAUCCUCAUUUCUAACAAGAGAGAUAUUAACAUUACAUUGUGAUCCAUUUUACUAUGAUAAAUAUUCCUUGCGACAUAAUAAAAAAGCCUUGGUUUGUAAUAAUUACAAAAUGUCACUAAGUAUUUAUAUACAUAUAUAGCUUUUAUUGUAAAGAUGAGUUCUUAAAUAAAAACGUGUGAAGUUUUUAUUCAUUUGUGCAUCUUUAUAAAUACAGGCUCACCGAGAGAUUGACAAGUGUUAUGCUCUGCUUCGUUGGAGAAUUUUCCUUGCUUUGAUAUAAUAUAUAUUUAACAUUAUAUUAUUAAAAAAAAAAGAAUUAAGUACGUAAUAAUUAUGUUAAAGAUGUUUAAAAUAUUGUACAUCGUGCUUGUAUCGGCGGCUUUGGUUUACGGAAAAACUAGCUUCGUAAGCAUUCCUCCGGAGUUAUUAUCGAAUAUGUUUCGUCGUUCCACGGAAUGCGUUGAAAAAACCGGCAUCGAUGCUGAAUCGUUGCAAAAAAUCCUUGUCUGGAAAUUAGAAGAUACAGAAAGCACUAGAAAUUAUAUAUACUGUUUCGCUAAGUCAAUCGGAUACGCAGAUGAGGACGGUUACCUUGUGAAAGACAGAAUUAUGAAACUAGCUGGUAAUCACAGGAGCAAAAAUGAACUUGGUAAAGUUAUCGAUGAGUGCAAUGGUUCAAAAGGAUCUAGUAAGGAUGAAAUUAUGUACAAAACGGCGGUAUGUUUCCUUCAAAAGUCACCGAUUUUAUUUACAUUGUAAUUAUUAGUUAAAAAAACUCUGUUCUUAUACUAUA